UGGUGGAGCGAUUUGUCUGGUUAAUUCCGAUAACGAACGAGACUCUGGCCUACUAACUAGUCGACGGAUCUCCAGCAAUUGGUGUCCAGUUCGCAGCUUCUUCUUAGAGGGAUAAGCGGCAACUUUAGCCGCACGAGAUUGAGCAAUAACA
rnacentral:rRNA from 1 species